rnacentral:misc_RNA from 1 species
GAUGAAGAACGUAGCGAAAUGCGAUAAGUAAUGUGAAUUGCAGAAUUCAGUGAAUCAUCGAAUCUUUGAACGCACAUUGCGCCCCUUGGUAUUCCGAGGGGCAUGUCUAUUCGAGCGUCAUUAUCACCCCUCAAGCCUAGCUUGGUGUUGGGGCUUGCUGUAAAGGCAGCCUCUAAAAUCAGUGGCAGUGCUGUCAGGCUCUAAGCGUAGUAAAUUCAUCGCUAUAGGGUCCUGGUGGAUACUCGUCAAAACCCGCCAUUUUUAAUGAUUGACCUCGGAUUAGGUAGGGAUACCCGCUGAACUUAAGCAUAUAAUAAGCGGAGGA